CACUAUCAAUUAGUGAACUCCAA
rnacentral:snRNA from 1 species